UGAAUACGAGACGCUAAGGCGUCGAAGUAGUGUAUGUCAUACUUCCAAGAAAAGCUUGCACUGUCAUAGAUAAAAAACGCCUGUACCAUAACCGACACAGGUGGGUAGGUAGAGUAUACUAAGGGGCGCGAGAUAACUCUCUCUAAGGAACUCGGCAAAAUAACUCCGUAACUUCGGGAGAAGGAGUGCCUUAUUAUUAAGGCUGCAAUAACAAGAUCCAAGCAACUGUUUAUCAAAAACACAGGUCUCCGCUAAGUCGUAAGACGAUGUAUGGGGGCUGACGCCUGCCCAGUGCCAGAAGGUUAAAGAAGUUGGUUAGCAUUUGCGAAGCUGAUAACUGAAGCCCUGGUGAACGGCGGCCGUAACAAUAACGGUCCUAAGGUAGCGAAAUUCCUUGUCGGGUAAGUUCCGACCCGCACGAAAGGCGUAAUGAUUUGGAUACUGUCUCGGAGAGGGGCUCGGUGAAAUAGACUUGUCUGUGAAGAUGCGGACUACCUGCACCAGGACAGAAAGACCCUAUGAAGCUUUACUGUAACUUGAAAUUGAAAUUGGACUUUAUUCGCGCAGCAUAGGUGGGAGGCGUUGAUUAUAAUCUUGUGGGAUUAUUGGAGCCAUCAGUGAGAUACCACUCUUGUAAUGUUAGAUUUCUAACUUUGAAUCAUUAUCUGGUCAAAGAACAGUUUCAGGCGGGCAGUUUGACUGGGGCGGUCGCCUCCUAAACGGUAACGGAGGCGUACAAAGGUUUCCUCUGAACGGUUAGAAAUCGUAUCUAGAGUGUAAAGGCAUAAGGAAGCUUGACUGUGAGACCUACAAGUCGAGCAGGGACGAAAGUCGGUCUUAGUGAUCUGACGGUACUGAGUGGAAAGGCCGUCACUCAACGGAUAAAAGUUACUCUAAGGAUAACAGGCUGAUCUCCCCCAAGAGUUCACAUCGACGGGGAGGUUUGGCACCUCGAUGUCGGCUCAUCGCAUCCUGGGGCGGUAGUACGUCCCAAGGGUUGGGCUGUUCGCCCAUGAAAGCGGUACGCGAGCUGGGUUCAGAACGUCGUGAGACAGUUCGGUCCAUAUCCGGUGUAGGCGUUAGAAUGUUGAGAGGAGCCUUCUUUAGUACGAGAGGACCGAGAAGGACAUACCUCUGGUGUACCAGUUAUCGUGCCAACGGUAAACGCUGGGUAGCUAUGUAUGGAGUGGAUAACCGCUGAAAGCAUCUAAGUGGGAAGCCCACC
rnacentral:rRNA from 1 species